CCUACGGGAGGCAGCAGUGAGGAAUAUUGGUCAAUGGACGAGAGUCUGAACCAGCCAAGUAGCGUGAAGGAUGACUGCCCUAUGGGUUGUAAACUUCUUUUAUAUGGGAAUAAAAUGUUCCACGUGUGGGUUUUUGUAUGUACCAUAUGAAUAAGGAUCGGCUAACUCCGUGCCAGCAGCCGCGGUAAUACGGAGGAUCCGAGCGUUAUCCGGAUUUAUUGGGUUUAAAGGGAGCGUAGGUGGAUUGUUAAGUUAGUUGUGAAAGUUUGAGGCUCAACCGUGAAAUUGCAGUUGAAACUGUCAGUCUAGAGAACAGUAGAGGUAGGCGGAAUUCGUGGUGUAGCGGUGAAAUGCUUAGAGAUCACGAAGAACUCCGAGUGCGAAGGCAGUUCAC
rnacentral:rRNA from 1 species